rnacentral:piRNA from 1 species
UNUGUACAUGGGUAGGUGCAGAUUCAUGUGU